GGCUCCUUCCCCCCGUGAAGCUUUGGUCUUGUCAUGGUUGGUGGGAGAGACACUCUUCUUCUUCCUCUUCUCCUUCCUCUUCUCCUUCUUCUUCUUCCUCUAAACAGCAACCAUCCUUUGAGUUUGGACUUAAGAAGCAGCAAGCUUCCUUUGAGCUUCGGACUGAUAAGGCCAGCCGUGAGGAAGAUCUCGGAGCCGCAGCGCUUGGGUUCGGCAGCGGCAAGGGAGGCCGAAGAUUCACCGUUCCUUCCUUCACCAAGCUUCAGCGAGCCCUAGUUCGCGGGACUUGGUGAACCCGACUCUGUAGCUCGGAGCCAAGAGAAGAUCAAGUCUAGGAUCGGGGGGUGUCUGGGAGUGUAUUUUCCGCUGUUAUCAGUAUCUCUGUAGUACACUUUUCUGUGAGUGUAAGGCUUGUAUUCUGACCGUAUUUAUGUAUUGAGAACUGUUGGGUUCAUCUUUGUGUUCUGUAGGGCUGCUAAGGCCCGUACUUGUAAUAUUUCAGUUUCUAGUAUCCUAUUUGUGCUUCUGUAUUACUAUUUAUAUUCUGCUUGUUAGGGUUGACUCUGACCAGGUCAAAUCUGAGGCCUGGCACCCAGUGGGACCCAGUCCCAGUGGAUGCGGCCGAUCUGUCUGCGGGCCCGGCAGUGGGGUUGGGGCGUGACAGGAGAAGAGGUUCCAUAUCUGCACUCAAGACUUCAUAUCUCUCCAAAGACAUUUUUUGAAGCGAGAUUACAAGGAGCAGUGACAUAUCACCAAAUGGAGGAAUUGGAAGAUUACAAGCAAAGGUUAAUGAAAUCACGGUCUAGGUUCUCACUAUUGGGAGGAAUCGUGGAGAGGUUAGAUGAAAACUCAGUUUGGGAUUCUAAUGAAUGAUUGGGGAAGAUUUGGUCAUACUUUGCACUAAGAGCAUUUUAGACAUUUUAAAAAAAAAUUGUAUGUCAUGUA